rnacentral:rRNA from 1 species
AUUGAACGCUGGCGGCAUGCCUUACACAUGCAAGUCGAACGGCAGCGCGGGGCAACCUGGCGGCGAGUGGCGAACGGGUGAGUAAUAUAUCGGAACAUACCCUAGAGUGGGGAUAACGUAGCGAAAGUUACGCUAAUACCGCAUACGCACCUAAGGUGGAAAGUGGGGGAUCUUCGGACCUCAUGCUCAUGGAGUGGCCGAUAUCUGAUUAGCUAGUUGGUGAGGUAAAGGCUCACCAAGGCGACGAUCAGUAGCUGGUUUGAGAGAACGACCAGCCACACUGGAACUGAGACACGGUCCAGACUCCUACGGAGGCAGCAGUGGGGAAUUUUGGACAAUGGGGCAACCCUGAUCCAGCAAUGCCGCGUGAGUGAAGAAGGCCU